GGCCCCUUCGUCUAACGGUUAGGACGUCGGCCUCUCACGUCGAAAACAUGGGUUCAAAUCCCGUAGGGGUCA
rnacentral:tRNA from 1 species